rnacentral:rRNA from 1 species
UACGUAGGGUGCAAGCGUUGUCCGGAAUUAUUGGGCGUAAAGGGCUCGUAGGCGGUCCAUCACGUCGGGAGUGAAAAGCUGGGGCUUAACCCCAGUCCUGCUUCCGAUACGGGUGGACUAGAGGUAGGCAGGGAGAACGGAAUUCCUGGUGGUAGCGGUGAAAUGCGUAGAGAUCAGGAGAACACCGUGGCGAAGGCGGUC